GAUCCUGGCUCAGAUUGAACGCUGGCGGCAUGCCUUACACAUGCAAGUCGAACGGUAACAGGUCUUCGGAUGCUGACGAGUGGCGAACGGGUGAGUAAUACAUCGGAACGUGCCCGAUCGUGGGGGAUAACGAGGCGAAAGCUUUGCUAAUACCGCAUACGAUCUACGGAUGAAAGCGGGGGAUCUUCGGACCUCGCGCGGACGGAGCGGCCGAUGGCAGAUUAGGUAGUUGGUGGGAUAAAAG
rnacentral:rRNA from 1 species